UACGUAGGUGGCAAGCGUUGUCCGGAAUUAUUGGGCGUAAAGCGCGCGCAGGCGGCCUUUUAAGUCUGAUGUGAAAGCCCACGGCUCAACCGUGGAAGGUCAUUGGAAACUGAAAGGCUUGAGUACAGAAGAGGAAAGCGGAAUUCCACGUGUAGCGGUGAAAUGCGUAGAGAUGUGGAGGAACACCGGUGGCGAAGGCGGUUCUCUGGGCAUUACCUGACGCUGAGACGCGAAAGCUAGGGGAGCGAACAGG
rnacentral:rRNA from 1 species